UACGUAGGGUGCAAGCGUUAAUCGGAAUUACUGGGCGUAAAGCGUGCGCAGGCGGUGAUGUAAGACAGUUGUGAAAUCCCCGGGCUCAACCUGGGAACUGCAUCUGUGACUGCAUCGCUGGAGUGCGGCAGAGGGGGAUGGAAUUCCGCGUGUAGCAGUGAAAUGCGUAGAUAUGCGGAGGAACACCGAUGGCGAAGGCAAUCCCCUGGACCUGUACUGACGCUCAUGCACGAAAGCGUGGGGAGCAAACAGG
rnacentral:rRNA from 1 species